CUCUAACUCUCAUCAAGAGGAUGACAUUAUGAGUUGGGGCAAUUUUCUGUUUAUUUCCUCAAACACUACACAAUGCCAUACCUUUAGAAGGGUUGGGGACACAUAUUUAUAGCCCUCGGGGCUACACUAGAAUACACUACACACUACACCACACACUGCAGCACAUAUGUGCUGUCCUCUAGAUGCUAAAGUGCAGUCAAAAGACUGCACUGUUGCUGCUGUGCACUGCACUGCCUGCUACACUGUACUGCUUGCCUGCUGCUGCCAUAGCGCAGUCAAAAGACUGCACUGUUGUUGCUGUGCACUGCACUGCCUGCUACAUUGUACUGCUUGCCUGCUGCUGCCAUAGCGCUGCACUGCACUGUUGCAGUGCGUGUUGCUGCCACACUACAGCAAAAGACUGCUGCUUUUGACUGCUGCAGAGAUGCUGUCCUCCACCAUGUUAUCCUACACAUGAUGUUGCAGAGUUGUUGUCCUCCACACAAAGACCACAUGACUUAUUCCAUCAUUCUCCCCCUAAGACUUGUGCGUCGUCUUGUGGGAAAGUUUAGCCAUCCCAGACCUGGAACAAAACUCAAGGAACUUGAUCCUCCCAAGGGGCUUGGUGAGCAAGUCCGCAAGCUGAUCCUUGGUGUUGAUGUAGCGUGCAUGGAUGCUCCCUUCUGCCAAACAGUCACGGAUGAAGUGGUAUCUCACCCGGAUGUGCUUGCUUCGUUCAUGGAACACGGGGUUCUUGGCCAACGCCAAGGCGGACUGGCUGUCCACCCGAAGUUCCACUACUCCUACGUCUCUCCCGAUGAGAUCACUGAGCAAGUGAGCAAGCCAAAGCGCCUGAGUUGAAGCGGUGGAGGCCGCUAUGUACUCGGCCUCGCAGCUGGACAUGGCCACCACCUGCUGCUUGACCGACUGUCAGCUGAUGGGGCACUUGCCGAGGAAGAAGAGGAUCCUGCUUGUGCUCUUGCUAGUGUCGAUGUCGCCGGCGUGGUCACUAUCGCUGUACCCGACAAGGUGUGCCUCCCCAGGGCACCUCGGGUAGUAGAGAUCGUGAUCAAGAGUUCCCGCAACAUAGCGGACGAUCCUCUUCACAGCCUGCUCGUGCUCCGUCGUCGGUCGCUGCAGGAACCGACUAACGUAGCCGACAGAGUAUGCUAGAUCCGGCCGUGUGUGGACGAGGUAGCGAAGGCUCCCCACAAUACGCCGGUACUGUGUAGCGUCCACCUCCUCCGUCGUGCUAUCGCGACUUAGCUUCAGCCUCUCCUCCAUCGGAGUGAGAGCUAGGUUGCAGUCGGUGAGUCCAGCCAGCUCAACAAUGCGCUUGGCGUAGGCGCUCUGGCAAAGUGUGAUCCCGGAGUCUCCCUAGUGCACCUCAAUCCCCAGGUAGGAGAGAUGCCCCAGGUCACUCAUUUGGAAGGUGGCCUUCAUCUCUUCCUUGAACGCUGCCACCUCUGCAUCCUUGGCGCCGGUGAUCACCAAGUCGUCGACGUAGACACCCACCAGCAGGGUAUUUUCUCCAUUGCCCCGCCGAUAGAUGGCCGCCUCGUGCGGGCUUGGAAUGAAGCCCAUCCUCUUGAGCGUGGAAUCCAGCUUGGCAUUCCACGCCCUUGGUGCCUGUCGCAAGCCGUAGAGGGCCUUACGCAGGCGCAACACCUUGCCCUCCUUGCCAGGGAUCGCAAAACCUAGCGGCUGGUGUACAUAAACCUCCUCCUUUAAGUCGCCGUUAAGAAACGCCGACUUGACAUCCAUGUGAUGAACAUGCCAGCCCUCCUGGGCUGCCAGCGCGAGGAGUCGCACGGAUUCCAUCCAUGCCACAGGGGCGAAGGCAUCGUCGAAGUCGAUCCCCUCCUGCUGCAAGAAACCGUGUGCCACCAAGCGAGCCUUAUGCUUAACGACGGCGCCGGCUUCAUCCCUCUUCAGUUUGAACACCCACUUAAGGGUGAUCACACGAUGACCAUGAGGGAGAUCGGCGAGCUCCCAAGUGCGGUUCGUCUCAAAAGCGUCCAUCUCCGACUGCAUCGCGGCACGCCAAGCCGCAUGUUUCUCGGCCUCCGCGAAAGACCGAGGCUCACCAUCGUCGCAUGCAAGAUGCAACUCUCCUGCCAGAAUGCGAGACGCAGGGCCCAGCACCGAUGGGUCGAUAAGAAGGCCCUCCACCCUUCGAUACUGCAACGGCUCGCCGUCGUAGCACGCGUCGACGUGUUCCUCGUCGUGGGAGAGCGGGUCACGAGCUCCACUGGGUCGUGCUCGACACGAGCUGGUGUCGAAGAGGACGUUCCAGGAGAGGGUACCGUCGGUGCUGGAGUACGUGGUGGCGAAGAGCUCGCUGUAGCCGGAGUGCAUGGUGGUGAAGAGCUCGUUGUAGCCGGAGCUGGAGAGCGUGGCGCUGGAGUCGGUGGAGACUUGGGGGCUGGGGUAGACCUACUCGGAGAAGAGUUGCCUACUCCCCUAGCUCCCUCAAAGUGGACGUACUCGAUGGUGAAGUCGUCGUACGUCGGAGUCGUGCCGUCGUCCACCGCCUUAUCCCACGCCCAUCCUCACCCUUCGUCGAACACUACGUCGCGCGUCGUGCGCACACGCUGUGUUCCUGGGUCAAGAAUGCGGUAGGCCUUCGAGCCCUCCGCGUAGCCAAUGAACACUCCCGGGGUGCUCCAAUCGUCGAGCUUGCUGAUGUGGCCAAGCUCCUUGGUGAACACGAGGCAGCCGAAGACCUGUAGAUGAGAGACCGCCGGCUUGCGCCCGUGCCAAGCCUCGUACGGUGUCAUCCCGUUGAGAGCCUUGGUGGGCGAGCGGUUGAAGAUGUAAACCGAUGUCACCACCGCCUCUCCCUAGAAGACAGCCGGCAUUCCCCUCUAUUUGAGGAGAGCCCGAGCCAUCCCCACAACCGUCUGGUUGCGCCGCUCGACGACGCCGUUCUACUGCGGGAUGUACGGCGUGGAGUAGUGGCACUAACUCUCAUCAAGAGGAUGACACUAUGAGUUGGGGCAAUUUUUUGUUUAUUUCCUCAAACAAUACACAAUGUCAUACCCUUAGAAGGGUUGGGGACACAUAUUUAUAGCCCUCGGGGCUGCACUAGAAUACACUACACACUACACCACACACUGCAGCACAUAUGUGCUGUCCUCUAGAUGCUAAAGUGCAGUCAAAAGACUGCACUGAACUGCCUGCCUGCUGCUGCCACAGCGCAGUCAAAAGACUGCACUGUUGCUGUUGUGCACUGCACUG
rnacentral:lncRNA from 1 species